rnacentral:rRNA from 1 species
GAUGAACGCUAGCGAUAGGCCUAACACAUGCAAGUCGAGGGGCAGCAUAGAGUAGCAAUACUUUGAUGGCGACCGGCGCACGGGUGAGUAACACGUAUGCAACCUACCUACAUCAGGGGAAUAACCCGGAGAAAUUCGGACUAAUACCGCAUACUACAGGGAUGCCGCAUGGCAAUAUUUGUUAAAGAUUUAUCGGAUGUAGCUGGGCAUGCGUUCCAUUAGCUAGUUGAUAAGGUAACGGCUUACCAAGGCAACGAUGGAUAGGGGAACUGAGAGGUUUGUCCCCCACACUGGAACUGAGACACGGACCAGACUCCUACGGGAGGCAGCAGUGAGGAAUAUUGGUCAAUGGACGAGAGUCUGAACCAGCCAAAUCGCGUGAAGGAAGACUGCCCUACGGGUUGUAAACUUCUUUUGUACAGGAAUAAAAGACAUUACGUGUAAUGUAUUGCAUGUACUGUACGAAUAAGCAUCGGCUAACUCCGUGCCAGCCGCCGCCGUAA